rnacentral:rRNA from 1 species
AGAGCGAACGCUGGCGGCAGGCCUAAUACAUGCAAGUCGAGCGGCCACUUCGGUGGCAGCGGCGGACGGGUGAGUAACGCGUGGGAAUGUGCCCUUUGGUACGGAACAACUGAGGGAAACUUCAGCUAAUACCGUAUGUGCCCUUCGGGGGGAAAGAUUUAUUGCCAUUGGAGCAGCCCGCGUUGGAUUAGCUAGUUGGUGGGGUAAAGCCCACCAAGGCGACGAUCCAUAGCUGGUCUGAGAGGAUGAUCAGCCACACUGGGACUGAGACACGGCCCAGACUCCUACGGGAGCAGCAGUAGGGAAUCUGCGCAAUGGGCGAAAGCCUGACGCAGCCAUGCCGCGUGAAUGAUGAAGGUCUUAGGAUUAGUAAAAUUCUUUCGAACCGGGAAGAUAAGUGAACGGUACCCGGAAGAAGAACGCCCCGACUAACUUCGUGCCAGCAGCCGC